rnacentral:lncRNA from 1 species
CCCUCCCUUCCAGGCGUGGGCCCCUCCUCCCUCCCCCCUCCUGUCCUUUCUCCCGCUAGCUCGUGGCCCCAGCCCCGCCCCCGUCCCCCCACCCCACCCCCCACGGCCGGAUACCGAGGAAGCCUGUCUCGGACACUUUCUUCGGGGAGCCCCGGAAGAGUUCGCUUCGCGCUGCUCUUCUGGUCUCUCUCGGCCCCGGUGGCGGCUGCGGCUGCGGCUCGUUUACCGCCGCUUCGUUUCCCUCCGCUCCGUUCUUCGGGUUUCCGGGCCAUCCUCUGCUUUUGUGCCUUUCGGGCUUCAGCAGAGUGCCCAGCAGAUCCAUGCCACAGAAAAGGAGUUCCGGUUUCCAAACCUGACUUGAUAUCCCAGCUGGAACAACAAGAUCUGCCAUUGGUACCAGAUCUCCCGCAAACUGAAAUUGAAGACCUCUUUGAUGGAUAUUCUGACCCAGGAACAUUAGGAGCAAGUUGCAAAGAGGCUGGGCCUGGUGUAAGGGAAAACUUUCUAACAAACUGCUGUUCAUAAGAGAAAUGAACUCAGGAGAUGGUGGGUUUCCCUUAUCUGGACAUCUUCAAGGAGAGGCUGGUAUGUUGAAUGGGUUAGACUACAUUGUCCACUGAGGUCCCUUAAAAGUGGAAAAUUCUGUGAUUCCCUUAUUUGGCGAACUGAAAUUAUUCUGUGGCUAGCAUUCAUUUGAGAAAGAUAAAGUUUCCUACAUAACUUUCAGCCCUUUGACAGUUCGCUGUUUUUUUAACUCUUAAACGUUUUGUCUAUUGGUUCUAAGGCAGAAGAGCAAUAAAGGUUAGGCAGUGGGGGUUAAGUGACUUGCC